rnacentral:sRNA from 1 species
UCCCAAGUGCUAGGAUUAAAGUUGCCAGUUUUUCUUUUUUUAAUGACAUAAAAAAAAUUAAAUAACACCUCCCAAUUUUCUAAUGUGUGAACGAGAUGAUUUCAUUAAUUGUUGUUUAAGAUUGUUUUUCUGGGUUUUUUUGUUUGUUUGCUUGUUUGUUUGUUUGUUUUUUGAGGGGAGAUGGUGGGUACAGGUAGACAAGGUUGGCCUUAACUUGCUAUGUGGUGGAGGAUGAUCCUUAGAAUGCUUCACCCAGUUUAGUCAAUGCUAAGAUUGAUUUGCAAGCUCCUGGCAGGCUAGGCAAUCUGCCCCCAAGCUCAAGGUUCUUGAAAUAAGCAUAAAUAGAUCCUUGAGCAUUAGUUGGACACAUGGAAGGAUGAAGGUGUGUACCAUCCUUUCUACUUGGAGUGGGAAUGUGACAUAAGCCAUGCUACACCCUGGACAGAACGCCUGUCAAACUUGCUCUGAGGCAUUCUAAUCCCGAUCGCUUUCUUACCUUUCACUGGCCCCUGGCUGCAUAGUUUGACUAGGUUUUCCAAGCGUGCCUCCUGCCAUUAGUUUCAGGAACUAACAGUUUAUCACGUAGUUCAAAUACUGUUCCUUUCUGGGAAACUAAUGGCAGGGUAGUGCAGCCUUUUGUUCUGAGUAGAAGGUGGUUGAAGGUUGAAGAGAAGAGGGAAGGGGCAGACCAGACUUGCGACCUGGGGGUGCAGUGUUAGUUUGCUGGGGCUACAUUGCAGAAUACCACAGACUGCCUCAUUACUCUCACAGUGCUGGAGGCAGGAAGGGCCUUGAGGGCAUCUCCCCUUGGCGUGUAGAUGGCUGUCACCUCCUGGUCUUUUCAUAGGGUCUCCCCACUGCAGUACCUGAUGCCAGUCUCUGGGUCGGGGCCCUGGCUGUGACCUUGUUUCCUUUCCAGACAGUCACAUUGGGAAUAAGGACAUGUAACACAUGUUGGAGGGCAGGGUAUAGCUCAGUGGUUUAGGCAUAUGCCCUUAAAAUAAUUCUUAGCUUUCUCGUGGUCAUCAACCCGUUCGAGAGCCUACUUAAUGCUUUGAAAAAAUUUCAAGGAAAAAAAAACUCUAUGAACACAUUUUUCUUUCUUACCAACACCUUUUCUUUGGUCUUAUUUAUCAGAUUUUGUUAAACCAACGGAGAGAGUUCGGCUUAGCAGCCUCUGCCCAUUGGGCCAGGUCUCCUGUUUUCUGAGCUCAUCUGAUUCUGUCACCCUUCUGUUUCUAGUGAGAUUAGACCAAUGUUGAGUGGAGAUUCUCUGAAGUAGGAAGGCUUCAUGGCCGAUUAGACAGUCCAUCCUGAGAACACCGAGUCCUGGGACAGCUCUGCAGCUACCACAGGUCCAUGGCAGUUGGAUCUGAGAGCCAAGAUCAGUUCCGGAACAGCAGCUCUGAAGCCUGCUGAGCCAUGAGGUUGGGAAUCACAAAGAACCUACGUUUCCAACUAGGAGGGUCGUCCAUAAGAAAUAUCCUGGGUUGUCUGAAGCUAGACGUUCAGUCAGUGUGUAUGUGAACAGCUGGCUGCAGGGCUUUAGCCUAGGGUCUGACCCGCUUCCUGCACAGGGGAUAGUCUUUGUUGGCUCCAGUCCACAUCUGCUGGCUUAGGAAGCAUCCUUAUCUCUCUCUAUCCAUAGAAGUUUUUUUUUUAUUAGAUUUUAAAAAACAACUGAUAGUUUAUUAAGGGUGGAUUUAGGAGAACAGCCUUGCCUGAGAUGUUGGAAACCAUAUGCUUAGUCUCAGGAGCCCAUGACAGUCACUCGUGUAUUCUCACCCAGAAGCUCCACCAAGGUGGCCCCAGGUGAUUCUUUUCCCUGUUUGCAUCUCUGGCUAAGUCCCUCACCUCCAGAGACUCCACCUGGAGACUAGGGGAAUCGUGAUACAGUGAAGUGACAAUUGUGAUUUUUCUGGUAUGUUUCAGUUUCUAAAGCAUGGCUAUGGGGUAGCUUCCUGACUGACUUGUCCACAGAAACAGUGUGGCUCCCUUAGAAAGACUUAGCAGGGGGCUGGAAGAAUGGAGUUCAGUUCUGUUCCUGGCAAACAAUGUGGUGUGUGUGUGUGUUCUGUUAUAAACGUUACUUUUUGUUCUAGAAUCAGGUAUUUAUUCCACAAAGUAUGUGUUACAAUGACUUUAGCAGAUGUUGGUUUUUCUAGACAGGAAGUACAAACAGCAGAUUGUAAUUACCUUGAAAGGUGGAUAUAACAGAACACUUGGGAAACAACUGGUUAAUCGCAGCUUACUCAAGUGGUGGGUAGGAGCGUGUGUGUGUGUGUCUGUCUGUCUGUCUGUCUGUCUGUCUAAGGAUUAAGGCAGAAAGUACUUGAUUAUGUUGUCAAAAUGAAACUGGCCUGUUGGAGACUGGGCUGUUCUCUAAUACUGAUUUCUUGACAUCUCUUCACUCCUGGCUUCUUGAGAAAGGUCAGGUAAAUAGUUUACCUUCACCCUUAGGACAUACAGCUUAGGCAAAAGUGUCUGACUCAGUCUGCUUUGUUCAGAGGGUUGGUAGGAACAAUGGCAGUCUGGUUACUAUUUAACACUUGCAGUUAGAGUGUAAGCACUGUGAUGUUGGAGGCUUAAGUUGCUUUGCUCACUGUCUGCAGAACCUAGGGUAAUGGCUGACACAUAGUAUAGCAGGUCCUCAUUUGAAGGAUGAAGGAAAAUCCCUCUCUAAUCAUUGAAUCCCAGUAAUAAUUGCUAAGUGUAUAAACCAGGAUUGCGUCAAACUGCUAACUCUUGUUCAGUGAAAUAUACUUAAUUAGAUUCUUAGGAGAGGGUGGUCAUGGGUAUCCAAAUUAACAGAGCACCAUCUGUGUCCCCACGGAUGCCAUCCUUCAGUUGGGGAGACAAACUGCAGG